GACUGUCCUUACUCUUUUAUAGUUAUGAAGGAAACCCCAAACUUUUUAGAAAUUCACUUUGGAAUAUUACUCCUGUGCAAUAAUAUAUAUAGCUCCAAGUUUAGAAAUUCAAUUUGGAAUAUUACUCCUGUGCAAUAAUAUAGCUUCAAGUUAGAUCGUGCUGCAUGAUUUGUCACUAUAAGAAAAUGGUCAACGGAGCGACAAAAUAUUUUGCUACAAAUUAUAAUUUGUUGCUAAUAAGUAUCAUAAAAAAAUGAAAUAAAAUAUAUGUCAUGAAAUAUCAUUUAAAUAGUAUUUUAGCAACAAAAUUAUAUUUCGUUGGUAAUUUGUCACCAAGAAAUUGCAAGGGAGUUUGAUGGCUGAAUUCUUUUUGAUGAACUACCAAUAUUUCUUCGAAGAACGGAUUUCUGGAGAUGCGUUCUUCCUGGGGAAUCCGAGUUUCUAUGCUCUUCAAAUUGGACCAAGAGAUCUUUCUCAACCGUAGAAGAUUGAACUAGCUGUGACCAGUCCACGCUACUUGCUUUGGACCUCUUAGCUGAAGGCAGUUUCCGUAUCCAGUCAACUGAGGACCUGAUGGCUUAGGACCAAGUUGCAAUUGAUAAAAGUAGAUGAUCAAGGCUGCCAUCAAGAUGUCCCCAUAGACAGUCUUAUAUUAAUACCAUAUGCUUAAAUGUACAUAACAGUUGCGUAUACGGAUCUCUUCUAAAAUGGCUUUUCUAAAUGAAAGUCUGCCAUGUCCAGUUUAAAAAUGGACAUGAGGCUGAAUUUAAAGACGACAAGUUAGGACCAAGUUGCAAUUUAUGAAAGCCGAAUUUGGUGCCUAAAGCACCUAAUCUAGAUGAAGGCUCAAGUACGAACAUAUCCUUUGUGCGGAAGAAGCGUAUGCCUCCGCGAUUAUCCACUGAUCAUUUUGAGAUUUGUGCAGAUAGUUGGAUGGUGUAUUUGUAGUGCUUUGAAAUCUGUGCAGUGGAUGAUCGCGCGAGGAGGAAGGCGCAUCCUUGUUGCGCGCGUGUAAUGCAGUCACGUUCCUUCCUAGAGGGGUGUCAACUUGGCGGCACAUUGUUUUGGAAUGGAGUGUUCCAUCUGGUAGUAGAUGGAUAGUUGUUGCCGGAGAGUAAUUUAUUUUAUAUGAUUAUUGGAAAGUAACUUUAAGUCUCCUUUCAUGUUCAAGAUCUCUCCUCCAUCAAGAGAGGUAAAUCCAAUUGGUUCGUUGUUUAGGAUUGGCAUCCAUCACGUGGUGGGUGGAUGAUUAUUGGUGGGGAUUAAUAUUUUUAUGUUUGGAUGGGAUGGCUUAAACAAAUAGUUGGCUGAAAGCUGCAAUGGCCUUGAUGGCCUUUAGCUUUAUAUGGUUAUGUCCAGCCAUGAUUCCUAUCAUUUUAGAAAAAAAAAUCAUAUGGAGGGGCACUAUAGAAUAUUUUAUGGAACACAACUUUCAACUUCCGGAGGCGACCGUAUACAUUGCACACCCGAUGCGGUUCCCAAACCAGUGAGCAAUUUUCGUUAUUCUUUCUUUAUUUUACCAAUGCUGCCGACCAGUUUCUUUCCUCACUUCUCCCGAAUUCCUUUCAGUUAAACGAGGAUUUAAUCUAGAACAAGUGGAAUCACGGCCGCUUCUGUCUCUGCCAAUCUUAUAUAUUUAGGUGCUGCUCCGCCUAGUGAGAAAGUCAUCCGAGUUCGUUGAUCCCAGACAUUUCAUUGUUGGUGACGCUUCCUUUCAGGGGCUGCCUGGUGAUCAGAGAUUCAAGAAGCAGAACGGCUCCGGCGAUGAUAUCUUCGCCCGCCUCUUCGCCGCCUCCUUGGAUCCCGACUUCGCCCCCCUCUCCCUCGAACCGCGGAUCCUCAAGUCCCGCCUCAUCGCCGGCGAGACCCUCUACGGCCUCUUCCUCCUGCGCUCCUCCCCGACCCUCGCCGAGAUCGCCGGCCUCGCCGGCUACGACUACGUGGUCGUCGACAUGGAGCACUUGCUCUGGCGGCAUCGCGGAGGCCCUCCCCUGCCUCCUCGCCCUCGCCGCCGCCCGCACCCCGGCCAUCCUCCGCCUUCCGGAGCUCUCCGCCACCUGAGCCAAGAAGGCCCUUGAUCUCGGCCCCCAGGGACUCAUGUUCCCCAUGAUCGAGUCCCCCGGCACCACUGUUAUCCUUCUCGGUUUCUAGCACUACCUGGUUAUGCUUGGCACCACUGUUAUCAUUCCUACUGCUCUUGUUCCUCAGAUGGGUGGAGGAAAUGAUGAGAAAGCUCAGGUGAUCCAGACAUUACUGUUUGUGGCCGGCUUAAACACUCUGUUACAGACCUUGUUUGGAACUCGUUUACAAGGUCAAUUUUCUAAACCAAUUGGCUAUCUUGGUUUCUGAACAAAACACUUGAAAAUACUAAUGAGAUUUCAUGAACAGGCCUUCUAGUGUACAUUGGGACAAGUUUCUUCUCUUUAGGUUCUUCCAAAGCUUCCUGCCUUUCUUUGUGUUUGAAGUAUGAUAUCUGUUGUAAUUGGAAUGUAAUUAUGCUCUGUCAGGUUUUUAAUUUUAAGUAGGUUGAAGAAAUAUAAUAGGAGAGACGGGUCUGGACUGUCAAGUCUCUGUGAAGGAUUUGGGGUUUUGUUUGAUUUUCUUGCAUGUGCUUCUGAAGCAGAGACUGCAGGGUUGUCAUGGACGCAGAAGAUCUGUAUCUGCAGGGUUGUCGGCCGAAAACCCAAAACUGGGAAUGCUUUGGGCUUUCCUGACACUUUAAAGCGUCGGCAAAUGUCGUUUUUGCCGACGCUUCUAUUAGCGUCGGAAAAGCCCUAUUUCUGCCGACACUUUCUCUUAGCGUCGGCAAAAAUCAGACCCACGCCCACCUGCCCGACGUUUGACCCAUGCUUUGGGGUGCGUGGGCUGGAAAUUCGCCAACACUUAAAAGCGUCGGUAGAGCCAAAAAAACCGUCGGAAGAUAUCCUUUCUUUUGUAGUGCUCUAUUAAGAUUUGGAAUCAUUUAGGUAAAGUGAAAGUAACUUGGUUGACUAAUUUAUUUAAUAAAAUUUUAAAUAUUAAGAAAACAUCUGAUGAAUGGAGGAAGAAUAUUAUAAUAUUAUAAUUUAUAAAUAUAAAGGUGACAUUCAAAAUUAUUCUAACUAUUAUGGUAUUAAACUCAUGCAUUUUAGAAUAAAAGUUUGGGAGAGGGUGUUUGAGCAAAGAUCAAGAUGUGAUAGAAAAAUAUAAGAGAAUUAAUUCAAUUUGAUUCUAGAAAGUUUGACUAUGGAAGUCAUUUUUCUUCUACGGAGAUUAAUAGAUAAAUAUAGAGAAAAGAGAUAUGAUCUUUAUACAACUUUUAUUAAUGUAGAGAAAGCAUAUAAUAGAGUUUCUAGAGAAGUUUUACGGUACGUAUUAGAAAAAGAAAGAAACUUUCAUUGGUUAUUUUAAUAUGAUUAAAGAUAUGAAUAAUAGAGCGGUUACUAGUAUGAGAAUUAUUGAUAAUAAUAAGUAAGUUUUCAUUCAUAAUAGGUUUACACCAAGGUUCUACUCUAAACCACUACCUUUUGCGCUCAUUGUGGAUCAGCCUAUUGGGCAUAUUUAGGAUGAUAUUCCUUAGUGCAUACUAUUGACAGAUGUUAUAGUCUUGGUAAAUGAAACUAAAGUUUGAAGUAAUCGUAAAUUGCAAUUAUAUAGGUGGAAUUAAAAUUUAAGAGCUAUAAGUUAGGUAGGACCAAGAUAGAAUACAUGCAAUAUAGUUUUAAUAAAAUUAGAAAUACGAAUGAAAGUGAAGUAAAAGUUAUGGAUUAUAGAGUUCAUAGGAUUGAUCAUUUUUUAUAUUUUGGAUUCAUUAUUCAUAAGGAAUGGGAGACUAAAAAUGAAUGUUAUCCAUAGGAUUAAAGCAGGGUCAAUAAAAUGCAGAAGUGUAAUUAGAAUAUUAUGUGAUCAUAAAAUACCUAAGAAGCCGAAAAAAAAUUAUAGGGCAGUCAUAUGACUAGUUGUGCUCCACGGUACAUAAUGUCGAGUAGUUAGAAAAUAACAUAUCCACAAGAUGAGUAUGGCCGAAAUGAGAAUAUUGAGAUAGAUAUAUGGUAAUGCAAGAAAAUAUACAAUAAGAGAUAAAGUUAUUUGUAAGAAUAUGGAAGUAGCACCAAUGGAGGAUGAACUGAGAGAUGAAUGACUUACAUGGUUUGGGCAUCUAUAACAUAGAUUGAGGGCUGUACCAGUAUAAAAGAGUAAUUUCAUGCAUAUAAAAAAGAGUGGAUAGAGGCAGAUCAACAAUUACAUAGGAUAAAUAAUUGAGAAGGACUUGAUAAUCGUUGCAACUUUUAGAAAAUAUACUUUAAAUCGAGUAGAAUGGAGGAAAAGGAUUCAUAUAGUCGACCCAAACUAGAUUGGGAUUAAGACUUAGUUGUGUAUAUCAUCAGAAGAAGACUUAUAUUUCUUAUAUUAAACUAGAGUAUUGAAAUAUAUGGUAUACUAGUUUUCUAUCGGUCUAGGUUAGUUCGGAUUCAAAUAGGAAAUUUAAGUAUCCAAAUCUAAUCCAUUUUUAGAACAUGUCAUGUGUUCAAAUCCAAACCUAAUCCAAGUAGUUUUGGUGCUGGUUGGAAUGAAUUGGUUUUGGAUCAGUGCCAGAUUGGAGAUAGAUCAAUCCACUUGUAGGCCUAUAUUUGAAUGAGAAUAAGUGGAAGAUAUCUAAUCUUCUUUGUUUUGUUUUUGAAGAAAAAAACUUUUGGAAGAAAAGUCAUGAAGGCAACGGAGAAAAGUCGGAAAGUGGAAAAAGUUUCACCCCUAUUUUCUUCUAUAAAAGAUAUCUUAUAAAAGAUAUCUCCCAUGUCAAAUCACUCUUCCCUAUAUGCCUUAGGCUUGCCUCAAUCAUUACCUAGUGUUACGGAGGAACUUAGCCGCCAUGCCCCACGUGACCGGCACGCGCACCCAGGAAGACUACGGCAGUCCCUUGAUCCAGUAAUCCGACCCCGAAUCGGAUAUCUUCGGCUCCGCAGUCCGACCUCGAGUCGGCUGCCCCUAGA